GACGAACGCUGGCGGCGUGCCUAAUACAUGCAAGUAGGACGCAGUUGCGAACGGGAGAGUAACGCGUAGGUAACUGACUAUUAGAGGGGGAUAACUAAUGGAAACGAUAGCUAAUACCGCAUACUAGUAGAUGGACCUGCGUUGUAUUAGCUAGUCGGUAGGGUAAUGGCCUACCUGGGCCACGAUCCAUAGCCGACCUGAGAGGGUGAUCGGCCACACUGGGACUGAGACACGGCCCAGACUCCUACGGGAGGCAGCAGUAGGGAAUCUUCGGCAAUGGGGGGAACCCUGACCGAGCAACGCCGCGUGAGUGAAGAAGGUUUUCGGAUCGUAAAGCUCUGUUGUUAAGGAAGCGGUACUUAACCAGAAAGGGACGGCUAACUACGUGCCAGCAGCCGCGGUAAUUC
rnacentral:rRNA from 1 species